GGCUCUCAGAGCCUGGUCCUGCUCUGCAGCCUGUGCAGGCUCCUCUGUGAUGAGAAACACCCAGUCUCCAGUCGAUGAAAUGCUCAGGACGAGGCAGUGCCCUGGACCACACAAACAUCAGCCCACACGGAGUGUCUAGAGUGGAACACCCAGGCUGGGCCGGCCGCCUGGUUCUGAGCCUUGCAUCCUGACCCCACACAGCUAUGGGUCACUGCACAGCUGAAGCCCCCCAGUUUCUCUCUUCCAAGACCCAGACUCUGGACUGGGCCUCUUCUGAGUUCCUUUUCCCAACGAUAGGUCCACGGCUACUCCGUUCAGAAGCAGGACCGCAGAGUGAGGAAAACCAGGCCCACAGUCCCCUCUACACAGGCACCACUCACCUGCCCCCGGUCUGACCCUGCGUCACACAGUGUCAGGCUCUUGUCUCAUAUGUGUACCUGAUUUCCACUCCAUUCAUUCAAAACAUGUUGUCUGAGCAUUUACCAUGUGCCAGACCCUAUGCUGGGCUCUGGGGUAGGUGACAGUUCAUUGAGGCUCCUUGGUCUCUAGGAGACCAAUCUAUCACCACCCUGUCCUUGACAUGCCAACAGGCGAGCACCCCACUUCCACCCCCUCCGCCAGGUCUCUUUGCAGAGGCCCAGGCAGGCCCCACCUAGCUCCCCCCUUGGACCCUGAUGUCCCCCUACAUGCCCAGAGCUCCUCAUUCUCUUCCUGACUCUCAUUUCCCUCCACAGCUCUCUCCUCUCCCUAGGUCUGAUGGUCUCCUACCCACACCUUCACAGAUGAUGAGCAAAUGGGUCUUUCCUUAGGUUCCUGCAAAUAUGGACUUAUCACACAUCCACACUGAUGCCAGAAAUGUCAUGGCUACAUGUUGACUUACAGUAAUGAAUGGAGACCCCAGCACCCAGCAUGGCCACAGCACGAUGCUAAGGAGAAGCAAAGAGCAAGCCAGCUCUGGAUGUCUCCUGGAGUCAAGCGAAGCUUGGGUCCUGGCUGCUCAAAGUGCACCCCCAGACCAGCGACAUCAGUGUCACCUGGGAGCUUGCAAGACUCCUAUGCCUGCCCCGACUCACUGGAUCAGGAUCUGCAGCUCUACAGAUCUACAGGGACACAGAAAGGACAAGCGUGGUGGAUGCUGCUCCUCGCCCUGCAACGAUGCUGCCGCUGGGGAAGCGGGUGUUUCUUCCUGAGCGAGCCAUCUUGUCCCGGGCAGAGGUGUGAAUAACCCCUCUGACUCUCUGCACCGAGAUUUAGGGGAAGGAUCAGUGGACAGCUCAGGAAGUGCCGCUCUCAAACCUGCUGGGCAGCCGGCUCCGUGUGGCUUAAGAAGAGGUGCACAUGGAGGUUGCAGUUGUGUGAAAGUAAGAGGACUCUCAUAGUGACCUAAAGUCACCUGCCAGGUCACCUGCCAAGUCCAGAUCCUCUAAGGAACAAGGGCUAUGGCUUGGAUAUUUGUCCCCUCCAAGCUUCAUGUUGAAAUUUGGUCUCCCAGCCCGGGCACGGUGGUUCACGCCUGCGAUCCCAGAAUUUUGGAGAGGCCAAAGUGAGUGGAUCGCUUGAGCCCAGGAGUUCAAGACCAGCCUGGGCAGCAUAGCAAGACACCCCCGACUACAAAAAAACUACAGAAAUUAGCCAGGCAUGGUGGCAUGCACCUGUAGUUCCAGCUACUAGGGAGGCUGAGCCUCAGGGAGGAUCACCUGAGCCUGGGAGGUUGAGGCUGCAGUGGAAAGUUAAAUUCGAUUUAAAAAAUGUGGUCUCAGUGUUGGAGGUGGAGCCUAAUGGGAAGCAUUUGGGUAAGGAGGGGAGAUCCCUCAUGAAUGGACUAAUGCCCUCCCUGAGGGUGAGUGGGUUCUCACUCAUUAGUUCCCAAGAAAGCUGAUUGCUGGAAAGGACCUGGCACUUCCCCUCCUUCCCGCUGGGUCCUCCUUGCCCUGUGGUCUCUGCACACCCAGCUCCACUUUGCCCUCCCCCAUGAGUGGAAGCAGCCUGAGGCCUUCCCCAGAUGCAGAUGCCCAACCAUGGACUUUUCCAGCCAACUGGAAUCAUGAACCAAAUAAACCAUACAUGUAUACAUACACAUACAUACAUAUAUAUAGACGUAUGUAUAGAUUAUCCAGCCCCAGCAUUCCUUUAUAAGGGCACAAUUAAGAAACUAACCCAAGCAGGGACGGGAAAUAAAACUAUGAUUAAGCUCAACAUGGAAAGCGAGCGCCUCUAAUCUCCCUGAUAUUGGGUAGCUAGCUCACGUAGCAGCUGCCCCACUCCCUUGGGGAAAGGGAUUUCUGAUCGCCAAGGACACCAGUGGUUAUGAUGUCACUGAUCGUAAAGCUGUUAGAGGUUAACUGUCCCCAUCUACUUCCAAAUGAGCUUGUGCAACCCUGGCC
rnacentral:lncRNA from 1 species